rnacentral:rRNA from 1 species
GACGAACGCUGGCGGCGUGCUUAACACAUGCAAGUCGAACGGAAAGGCCCUGCUUUUGUGGGGUGCUCGAGUGGCGAACGGGUGAGUAACACGUGAGUAACCUGCCCUUGACUUUGGGAUAACUUCAGGAAACUGGGGCUAAUACCGGAUAGGAGCUCCUGCUGCAUGGUGGGGGUUGGAAAGUUUCGGCGGUUGGGGAUGGACUCGCGGCUUAUCCGCUUGUUGGUGGGGUAGUGGCUUACCAAGGCUUUGACGGGUAGCCGGCCUGAGAGGGUGACCGGCCACAUUGGGACUGGGAUACGGCCCAGACUCCUACGGGAGGCAGCAGUGGGGAAUAUUGCACAAUGGGCGGAAGCCUGAUGCAGCAACGCCGCGUGCGGGAUGACGGCCUUCGGGUUGUAAACCGCUUUCGCCUGUGACGAAGCGUGAGUGACGGUAAUGGGUAAAGAAGCACCGGCUAACUACGUG